UUUAAAGAGAGUUUGAUCCUGGCUCAGGACGAACGCUGGCGGCGUGCCUAAUACAUGCAAGUCGAACGAACGGAGGAAGAGCUUGCUCUUCCAAAGUUAGUGGCGGACGGGUGAGUAACACGUGGGCAACCUGCCUGUAAGUUGGGGAUAACUCCGGGAAACCGGGGCUAAUACCGAAUGAUAAAGUUUGGCGCAUGCCACGCUUUUGAAAGAUGGUUUCGGCUAUCGCUUACAGAUGGGCCCGCGGUGCAUUAGCUAGUUGGUAGGGUAAUGGCCUACCAAGGCAACGAUGCAUAGCCGACCUGAGAGGGUGAUCGGCCACACUGGGACUGAGACACGGCCCAGACUCCUACGGGAGGCAGCAGUAGGGAAUCUUCCGCAAUGGACGAAAGUCUGACGGAGCAACGCCGCGUGUAUGAAGAAGGUUUUCGGAUCGUAAAGUACUGUUG
rnacentral:rRNA from 1 species